ACCCUCUCAGGAUCACAACUAGAGAGUUUCCAGUAUUCUAUCAGUCUUGGCUAUGGGAAGGAGAGUCAAGCAGAGGCAUAUCCAUUUCAUUCCUAGCUUGGGCAGUGGCUAGCAAGUGGAAGGCAAUCUGCUACAAGC